rnacentral:lncRNA from 1 species
CUUUGCAAAAUAUAAAUACUACAGACAUCAAAAAAAAAAGAUUUAAAAUAUGCUACAAAUUUAUAAAAAUACUUAUUUAAUGAUAAAGUAUAAACCAGAAAUCCCACACGCAAAGCAGAAUGACAGGAUGUCCCAUCUUGUUUAAAUCAAUUACUUGAAAUUCACAAAACUAAAUAGAAAUAUGAAUAAUCAGACUUUCAAAUGACUUUUGCUAGCUUAUAGCAUUUUUACUUCUGAAGUUAUUCAGACUUAAAAAAGUUGUCUUUUAGAACACCAAAUAUUAAGACUAUUUCCCUCCAACCCACUAAUCUUUUUUCUUGAAUAAUGUAUAUUCAUUGAGAAGCAUAUUCCAAAGACGUUUCAUUUCAAGCCUCAGUGAUACACUUAUGAGGACCAAUUUUACUUUCUUGUGUAGGCAGUUCUAGUUUUAUUUUGCCUAGUGACCCAAAUAGACACUUGUACAGUGAUAUUCAAGGUUAUAAGUUUUACUUAUUAUUAAUGGUUCCUUUCUUGAAUUUCAUCUUCUGAAAGCUAUUCAAUUAUCUUCUAAAACACAGAUAUUCUCUGUUGUAGCUAGCUUCAUGGUUAUGUAUAUUAAAGACAAUUUUCUUUCUCCCUCAUUAUAAUUUCAUAACCGCAAUAGCAUCUGAAGUUGGGCUUUGUUCUCUCAUCUUCUCUAUCCCAAUCGACUCGUGAUUUCAUAGCCCUCAAAUGGCUCUCAUCACCAGACAACCAGCCCAUCAUGACAGGGAGAGUUUAUCAAUGAUAAUGCUGAAAUGACUUAAGGCUAAAACAUGACCUUUGUGCAUUGUCUAGACUCCCAAACAGAAAGAAAGCUGGACAAUACUGUUGCUCUGUAGAACUCAGUUUAACCUGAACUAUACCCUUAUGCUCCCUGGACUCUAUUCUCCCUCAGGAAUGGCAAAGAGCCAUAUUUGGUUUUCUGUAAUGGUCAAAUCAAUUCUGUAGAUUGUCCCACUACUUAAACAGCAGCAUCUAGCAGUUUUCAGCCUUGCACUGCCAAUGAAAAACCGUAGCUAAGCCCAGAAUUGUGCCAGCAGAUUUUUGGGUGUAGCUCAUUAUCCUAUUCAGAUAUAUCAAUGUAUGUUGUGCUAAAAUGGUCCGUUAUUCUUUAAAACAAAAAUAAAAAAUCCACACACAAAAACCUCUGCAUUUACAUUGUAGUUAGCAGAAUUCAUGUUUUCUGAAAGACUCUGAUUUUUCAAAGUUAUCGUACAACUUCCUGCAAGAUUCAGAUGCCUAAAUGCUUAAGAUGCUGGAGCUCG